AGCUUUAACUGAAGAGUUUGAUCCUGGCUCAGAGUGAACGCUGGCGGCAGGCCUAACACAUGCAAGUCGAGCGGCAGCGGGUCGUAGCAAUACGAUGCCGGCGAGCGGCGGACGGGUGAGGAAUACAUCGGAAUCUACCCAGUCGUGGGGGAUAACGUAGGGAAACUUACGCUAAUACCGCAUACGACCUGAGGGUGAAAGCAGGGGACCGCAAGGCCUUGCGCGAUUGGAUGAGCCGAUGUCGGAUUAGCUAGUUGGUGAGGUAAAGGCUCACCAAGGCGACGAUCCGUAGCUGGUCUGAGAGGAUGAUCAGCCACACUGGAACUGAGACACGGUCCAGACUCCUACGGGAGGCAGCAGUGGGGAAUAUUGGACAAUGGGCGCAAGCCUGAUCCAGCCAUGCCGCGUGUGUGAAGAAGGCCUUCGGGUUGUAAAGCACUUUUGUCCGGGAAGAAAUCUUCCGACCUAAUACGUCGGGAGGAUGACGGUACCGGAAGAAUAAGCACCGGCUAACUUCGUGCCAGCAGCCGCGGUAAUACGAAGGGUGCAAGCGUUACUCGGAAUUACUGGGCGUAAAGCGUGCGUAGGUGGUUCGUUAAGUCUGCCGUGAAAGCCCCGGGCUCAACCUGGGAAUGGCGGUGGAUACUGGCGGACUAGAGUGCGGUAGAGGGUGGUGGAAUUCCCGGUGUAGCAGUGAAAUGCGUAGAGAUCGGGAGGAACAUCUGUGGCGAAGGCGGCCACCUGGACCAGCACUGACACUGA
rnacentral:rRNA from 1 species